UUAAGUUAUUAAGGGCGCACGGUGGAUGCCUUGGCACUAGAAGCCGAUGAAGGACGUUACUAACGACGAUAUGCUUUGGGGAGCUGUAAGUAAGCUUUGAUCCAGAGAUUUCCGAAUGGGGAAACCCAGCAUGAGUUAUGUCAUGUUAUCGAUAUGUGAAUACAUAGCAUAUCAGAAGGCACACCCGGAGAACUGAAACAUCUUAGUACCCGGAGGAAGAGAAAGAAAAUUCGAUUCCCUUAGUAGCGGCGAGCGAAACGGGAAGAGCCCAAACCAACAAGCUUGCUUGUUGGGGUUGUAGGACACUCUAUACGGAGUUACAAAGGACGACAUUAGACGAAUCAUCUGGAAAGAUGAAUCAAAGAAGGUAAUAAUCCUGUAGUCGAAAAUGUUGUCUCUCUUGAGUGGAUCCUGAGUACGACGGAGCACGUGAAAUUCCGUCGGAAUCUGGGAGGACCAUCUCCUAAGGCUAAAUACUCUCUAGUGACCGAUAGUGAACCAGUACCGUGAGGGAAAGGUGAAAAGCACCCCGGAAGGGGAGUGAAAUAGAACCUGAAACCGUGUGCUUACAAGUAGUCAGAGCCCGUUAAUGGGUGAUGGCGUGCCUUUUGUAGAAUGAACCGGCGAGUUACGAUUUGAUGCAAGGUUAAGCAGUAAAUGUGGAGCCGUAGCGAAAGCGAGUCUGAAUAGGGCGUUUAGUAUUUGGUCGUAGACCCGAAACCAGGUGAUCUACCCUUGGUCAGGUUGAAGUUCAGGUAACACUGAAUGGAGGACCGAACCGACUUACGUUGAAAAGUGAGCGGAUGAACUGAGGGUAGCGGAGAAAUUCCAAUCGAACCUGGAGAUAGCUGGUUCUCUCCGAAAUAGCUUUAGGGCUAGCCUCAAGUGAUGAUUAUUGGAGGUAGAGCACUGUUUGGACGAGGGGCCCCUCUCGGGUUACCGAAUUCAGACAAACUCCGAAUGCCAAUUAAUUUAACUUGGGAGUCAGAACAUGGGUGAUAAGGUCCGUGUUCGAAAGGGAAACAGCCCAGACCACCAGCUAAGGUCCCAAAAUAUAUGUUAAGUGGAAAAGGAUGUGGCGUUGCCCAGACAACUAGGAUGUUGGCUUAGAAGCAGCCAUCAUUUAAAGAGUGCGUAAUAGCUCACUAGUCGAGUGACACUGCGCCGAAAAUGUACCGGGGCUAAACAUAUUACCGAAGCUGUGGAUUGUCCUUUGGACAAUGGUAGGAGAGCGUUCUAAGGGCGUUGAAGCAUGAUCGUAAGGACAUGUGGAGCGCUUAGAAGUGAGAAUGCCGGUGUGAGUAGCGAAAGACGGGUGAGAAUCCCGUCCACCGAUUGACUAAGGUUUCCAGAGGAAGGCUCGUCCGCUCUGGGUUAGUCGGGUCCUAAGCUGAGGCCGACAGGCGUAGGCGAUGGAUAACAGGUUGAUAUUCCUGUACCACCUAUAAUCGUUUUAAUCGAUGGGGGGACGCAGUAGGAUAGGCGAAGCGUGCGAUUGGAUUGCACGUCUAAGCAGUAAGGCUGAGUAUUAGGCAAAUCCGGUACUCGUUAAGGCUGAGCUGUGAUGGGGAGAAGACAUUGAGUCUUCGAGUCGUUGAUUUCACACUGCCGAGAAAAGCCUCUAGAUAGAAAAUAGGUGCCCGUACCGCAAACCGACACAGGUAGUCAAGAUGAGAAUUCUAAGGUGAGCGAGCGAACUCUCGUUAAGGAACUCGGCAAAAUGACCCCGUAACUUCGGGAGAAGGGGUGCUCUUUAGGGUUAACGCCCAGAAGAGCCGCAGUGAAUAGGCCCAAGCGACUGUUUAUCAAAAACACAGGUCUCUGCUAAACCGUAAGGUGAUGUAUAGGGGCUGACGCCUGCCCGGUGCUGGAAGGUUAAGAGGAGUGGUUAGCUUCUGCGAAGCUACGAAUCGAAGCCCCAGUAAACGGCGGCCGUAACUAUAACGGUCCUAAGGUAGCGAAAUUCCUUGUCGGGUAAGUUCCGACCCGCACGAAAGGCGUAACGAUUUGGGCACUGUCUCAACGAGAGACUCGGUGAAAUCAUAGUACCUGUGAAGAUGCAGGUUACCCGCGACAGGACGGAAAGACCCCGUGGAGCUUUACUGUAGCCUGAUAUUGAAAUUCGGCACAGCUUGUACAGGAUAGGUAGGAGCCUUUGAAACGUGAGCGCUAGCUUACGUGGAGGCGCUGGUGGGAUACUACCCUAGCUGUGUUGGCUUUCUAACCGGCACCACUUAUCGUGGUGGGAGACAGUGUCAAGCGGGCAGUUUGACUGGGGCGGUCGCCUCCUAAAAGG
rnacentral:rRNA from 1 species